rnacentral:rRNA from 1 species
AUUGAACGCUGGCGGCAGGCCUAACACAUGCAAGUCGAGCGGAGCGGCGGACGGGCGAGUAAUGCCUAGGAAUCUGCCCGGCAUUGGGGGAUAACGUCCGGAAACGGGCGCUAAUACCGCAUCCUAUCAGAUGAGCCUAGGCCGGAUUAGCUAGUUGGUGGGGUAAAGGCCUACCAAGGCGACGAUCCGUAACUGGCCGGAGAGGAUGAUCAGCCACACUGGAACUGGGACACGGUCCAGACUCCUACGAGAGGCAGCAGUGGGGAAUAUUGGGCAAUGGGCGAAAGCCUGAUCCAGCCAUGCCGCGUGUGUGAAGAAGGUCUUCGGAUUGUAAAGCACUUUUAGUUGGGAGGCGUUACCGGCAGAAUAAGCACCGGCUAACUACGUGCCAGCAGCCGCGGUAAUAC